UACGUAGGCGGCAAGCGUUGUCCGGAUUUAUUGGGUUUAAAGGGUGCGUAGGUGGCCCUGUAAGUCAGUGGUGAAAUAUCUCAGCUUAACUGAGAGGGUGCCAUUGAUACUGCAGGGCUUGAGUACAGAUGAGGUAGGCGGAAUUGACGGUGUAGCGGUGAAAUGCAUAGAUAUCGUCAAGAACACCGAUAGCGAAGGCAGCUUACCAAGCUGUAACUGACACUGAGGCACGAAAGUGUGGGGAUCAAACAGG
rnacentral:rRNA from 1 species